GACGAACGCUGGCGGCGUGCUUAACACAUGCAAGUCGAACGGUAAGGCCCUUCGGGGUACACGAGUGGCGAACGGGUGAGUAGCACGUGGGUGAUCUGCCCUGCACUUCGGGAUAAGCCUGGGAAACUGGGUCUAAUACCGGAUAGGACUCCUGGCUUCAUGGUUGGGGGUGGAAAGCUUUUGCGGUGUGGGAUGGGCCCGCGGCCUAUCAGCUUGUUGGUGGGGUAAUGGCCUACCAAGGCGACGACGGGUAGCCGGCCUGAGAGGGUGACCGGUCACACUGGGACUGAGAUACGGCCCAGACUCCUACGGGAGGCAGCAGUGGGGAAUAUUGCACAAUGGGCGCAAGCCUGAUGCAGCGACGCCGCGUGAGGGAUGACGGCCUUCGGGUUGUAAACCUCUUUCAGCUAUGACGAAGCGCAAGUGACGGUAGUAGCAGAAGAAGGACCGGCCAACUACGUGCCAGCAGCCGCAGUAA
rnacentral:rRNA from 1 species